rnacentral:rRNA from 1 species
CCUAGGGGGUGCAGCAGUGGGGAAUAUUGGACAAUGGGCGAAAGCCUGAUCCAGCCAUGCCGCGUGUGUGAAGAAGGCCUUCGGGUUGUAAAGCACUUUCAGUGGGGAAGAAAGCCUUGGGGCUAAUACCCUCGAGGAAGGACAUCACCCACAGAAGAAGCACCGGCUAACUCCGUGCCAGCAGCCGCGGUAAUACGGAGGGUGCGAGCGUUAAUCGGAAUUACUGGGCGUAAAGCGCGCGUAGGCGGUCUGAUAAGCCGGUUGUGAAAGCCCCGGGCUCAACCUGGGAACGGCAUCCGGAACUGUCAGGCUAGAGUGCAGGAGAGGAAGGUAGAAUUCCCGGUGUAGCGGUGAAAUGCGUAGAGAUCGGGAGGAAUACCAGUGGCGAAGGCGGCCUUCUGGACUGACACUGACGCUGAGGUGCGAAAGCGUGGGUAGCAAACAGGAUUAGAUACCCUAGUAGUC